CAUCUCCAGGGGGAUGUGCUCUCGUGGAGACUUGGGCAGGACACCAGCAUCAUCGCUAUAAAUAAUCAAUGAGGUCAUCGUGACCUUUAGCAAACAUCCGAUGGACCUCAGUUACUUCUGAGGUGGGAUUCUACGCAAUUUGGAAUCAACAAAGACUGAGCUGUGUCUGUGUAGAAAUCUCCUGAAGGCAAACAUUCAAGCACAGGGGAAUGAGACAGGACCCAGGCUCUACAACUGGGGACCAGAAAGAUGCCUGGGACCUGAAUGUUCAGGACGUUCAUGAUGAGGACAAUGGACAGGCUUCCUCUUUUUCCUCCAAGGUCAUUUUAAAGCUUCUAAAAAUUAAGCCACACUACCAAACCCAGGCUGAAAUUUUACGCUGGUUUUGUGAAGAUUAAAGGUGCCGAUGUACAUAAAGCAGGAUGCACAGCCCUUGGGCUCGGGGUCGUGUCACCUGCGUUCCUUCUCAUCAAACGUGGUCUCCUUCAAAGCAUGCCCAUCACAGUCCUUUUUGGAGGGAAGGAAGAGCAAAGGGAAGAAAAAAGAAGGCAAGCAAUACUAGAAGGCAACCCAGAGAGUGAGACGAGCCUGUCCCUAUGGGGGGCUUUCAUGUAUUGCAUUCCUGUCUUGUUUCAAGCCCUCUGCUGACUUGCCAGCUAUUGGUUGUGAACAUGGGCAACCUCUUCCCUUGCCAUGCCUCCCUGGACUCUGUUACCCCAUCUGAAUAAAUGCACAGAACAACGCCUACCUACUCUUGUGAUCAUUACCCUAGAGAAGGUUAAUAAACUACUUAGAAUUGUAUUUGUUUCGUGAAUGGUAG